AACGAACGCUGGCGGCAGGCCUAACACAUGCAAGUCGAGCGCCCCGCAAGGGGAGCGGCGGACGGGUGAGUAACGCGUGGGAAUAUGCCCUUUGCUACGGAAUAGUCUCGGGAAACUGGGGGUAAUACCGUAUACGCCCUUUGGGGGAAAGAUUUAUCGGCGAAGGAUUAGCCCGCGUUGGAUUAGGUAGUUGGUGGGGUAAUGGCCUACCAAGCCGACGAUCCAUAGCUGGUUUGAGAGGAUGAUCAGCCACACUGGGACUGAGACACGGCCCAGACUCCUACGGGAGGCAGCAGUGGGGAAUCUUAGACAAUGGGGGCAACCCUGAUCUAGUCAUGCCGCGUGAGUGAUGAAGGCCUUAGGGUUGUAAAGCUCUUUCAGCUGGGAAGAUAAUGACGGUACCAGCAGAAGAAGCCCCGGCUAACUCCGUG
rnacentral:rRNA from 1 species